AAAUUCAUGGCCGUAGAAAACAAGGUAGUUUAUGGGCAAAAUGAAUAAGCAAGCAAACAUCAGAAACGGGCAAGCAGCGCACAUGGUUUAUGCUUAACUUGCAGCUCGUUAUCCACGGCAGACCCAGGUAGGCGCCUGGGUUGAAACCAGGCUCUUGCCCUGAUCUAGGCGAUAAUCCUAAAAAGACAAUCAACCCGCUGGUAACUGCGGUGUUCGGAGUCAUGCAGCAAGCGUGUUGGGAAACACCCCUCUGGAUGUGAUCAAGACCAGAAUGCAGAGUCUGGAAGUACAAAAGCACCCUUGACUGUGCAGUGAAGAUCAUGAGAUAUGAAGGACCACUGGCAUUUUACAUGGGGAACGUUCCACGCCUGGCUCGCGUGUCUAUGGAUGUCACUGCAGUGCUCGUGGUCUACGAUCAGGCGGUCAGGCUCCUCGACAUGGUUUGGAAGACGCACUGAAAGGUGACGGCGGCGUGGAGCAUCUUGGAGCUGCCGCUUCCCUGAGGGACACAUCCAGGAAACGUUCUGUUAACUUCAAAGCGACGUUCUCCAACGUAAAAUAUCAUUCUGAUGCUGCUGUUUCAUGUUAUUCUAAUGAGAAUUAGGCCUCUGGCAUAUCCAGCUUUAUUUAUUUUUAGCUAAAAAUGUUUAGUCAGUAAAUAGUAAGCACAGACACAUUUUUAUGAAUAAAAUGAGAGCAUCAGUCAGGGUUGUACCACUUCCUCGCCUUUCGACAUGUCAGGUGGCUUGACUUUUGGUACUCUGCUGUCCUCCCGCAGUCCAGGGACAUUAAGUUAAGCUAACUGGCACCUCUGAACUCCCCAAAGUAUGUGUGUAUGUGCCCAUAGAUGGACUGACAGCCCAUUUAGAAUGUUCCCCUGCCUUGCGCCCUGUGCUGCCUGGGAUAGGUUCUAGGCCACUGUAACCCUGUCCACAAUAAACGAUUAGAUGAUGGAUGGAUGGAUGGAUGGAUGGAUGGAUGGAUGGAUGGAUGAAAAUACCAAAGAAAUAAAACUGAUUUGCUGAUUUUUUUUUUCUUGUGAUAGUGGCAUGAUCCUGUUUUCACUUGAUGGAUAUGUUGGAAUUUAUUCAUUUAUUUGCAUUUCACUUAAUGAAAGUACCGGAAGGACCAUUACUCUGCAA